GCUUAAGUAUUUUAUAAUAAAGAUAUUGUUUUGUGGGAUUAAUGAUAUGAAGUUUUUCAUCUUAGGCU
rnacentral:tRNA from 1 species